rnacentral:rRNA from 1 species
UACGUAGGGUGCAAGCGUUGUCCGGAAUUAUUGGGCGUAAAGGGCUCGUAGGCGGUCCAUCGCGUCGGGAGUGAAAAGCUGGGGCUUAACCCCAGUCCUGCUUCCGAUACGGGUGGACUAGAGGUAGGUAGGGGAGAACGGAAUUCCUGGUGUAGCGGUGAAAUGCGUAGAGAGUCCGGAAGAACACCGGUGGCGAAGGCGGCCUGCUGGGCAGUAGCUGACACUGAGGCGCGACAGCGUGGGGAGCAAACAGGG